GAUGAACGCUGGCGGCGUGCCUAAUACAUGCAAGUCGAGCGAACGGACGAGACUCUUGCUUCUCUGAUGUUAGCGGCGGACGGGUGAGUAACACGUGGAUAACCUACCUAUAAGACUGGGAUAACUUCGGGAAACCGUAGCUAAUACCGGAUAAUAUUUUGAACCGCAUGGUUCAAAAGUGAAAUACGUUCUUGCUGUCACUUAUACAUGUAUCCGCGCUGCAUUAGCUAGUUGGUAAGGUAACGGCUUACCAACGCAACAAUGCAUAGCCGACCUGAGAGGGUGAAAGGCCACACUGAAACUGAGAGGCGGUCCAGACUCCUACGGGAGGCAGCAGUAGGGAAUCUUCCGCAAUGGGCGAAAGCCUGACGGAGCGGCGCCGGGUGAGUGAUGAAGGUCCUCGGAGCGUAAAACUCUGUUAUUAGGGAAGAACAUAUGUGUAAGUAACUGUGCACAUCUUGACGGUACCUAAUCAGAAAGCCACGGCUAACUACGUG
rnacentral:rRNA from 1 species